UGGGGAAUUGUUCGCAAUGGGCGCAAGCCUGACGACGCAACGCCGCGUGGAGGAUGAAGAUCUUCGGGUCGUAAACUCCUGUCGAGCGGGAAGAACACCUUCCGGGUGAAUAUCCUGGAAGGCUGACGGUACCGCUAAAGGAAGCCCCGGCUAACUCCGUGCCAGCAGCCGCGGUAAUACGGGGGGGGCAAGCGUUGUUCGGAAUUACUGGGCGUAAAGGGCUCGUAGGCGGCCAACUAAGUCAUACGUGAAAUCCCCAGGCUCAACCUGGGAACUGCGUCUGAUACUGGUUGGCUUGAAUCCGGGAGAGGGAUGCAGAAUUCCAGGUGUAGCGGUGAAAUGCGUAGAUAUCUGGAGGAAUACCGGUGGCGAAGGCGGCAUCCUGGACCGGCAUUGACGCUGAGGAGCGAAAGCCAGGGGAGCAAACGGG
rnacentral:rRNA from 1 species